GAUGAACGCUGACAGAAUGCUUAACACAUGCAAGUCGACUUGAAGCAACUUCGGUUGUGGAAGGUGGCGGACGGGUGAGUAACGCGUAAAGAACUUGCCCUUCAGUCUGGGACAACCAUUGGAAACGAUGGCUAAUACCGGAUAUUAUGGAACUCUCGCAUGGGAGGAUCAUGAAAGCUAUAUGCGCUGAAGGAGAGCUUUGCGUUCCAUUAGCUAGUUGGUGAGGUAACGGCUCACCAAGGCGACGAUGGAUAGCCGGCCUGAGAGGGUGAUCGGCCACAAGGGGACUGAGACACGGCCCUUACUCCUACGGGAGGCAGCAGUGGGGAAUAUUGGACAAUGGACCAAAAGUCUGAUCCAGCAAUUCUGUGUGCACGAUGAAGGUUUUCGGAUCGUAAAGUGCUUUCAGUUGGGAAGAAGAAAGUGACGGUACCAACAGAAGAAGCGACGGCUAAAUACGUGCCAGCAGCCGCGGUAAUACGUAUGUCGCAAGCGUUAUCCGGAUUUAUUGGGCGUAAAGCGCGUCUAGGCGGGUUCAUAAGUCUGAUGUUAAAAUGCGGGGCUCAACUCCGUAUUGCGUUGGAAACUGUGAACCUAGAGUAUCAGAGAGGUGGGCGGAACUACAAGUGUAGAGGUGAAAUUCGUAGAUAUUUGUAGGAAUGCCGAUGGAGAAGUCAGCUCACUGGAUGAAUACUGACGCUAAAGCGCGAAAGCGUGGGUAGCAAACAGG
rnacentral:rRNA from 1 species